UUCGUGAGGAUGUGGCUGAAGGAAGCGUGUAUCAAAUUCUUGGCUCGACGAACAGAAAUCUGAUACCAAGGCUCGGUAAGUGGAUGGUUCCCUAACAAACCAAAGUCCAAAAGAUGUGCGUAAACUUAUCGGGUAAAUCAGGCGAGUAAAAGAGGAAAGUUAGU
rnacentral:ncRNA from 1 species